AUACGGAUGUAUAUAGACAUAUAUUAGAGUGUGGAUUUACUCAUUUUGCGCUUUAUUGAAAAGGAAAUGGCGCGAAACUAUUGUGUGCCGGAUUAUGACUGAACACCUCUAAGUCAGAAUCUAGCAUGCGACAUUUGUGCCCGCCGCCCACCUUGUGCCCGUGCCAUUGGCUAAGAUGGUCCGGCCGACGUGUCACGGCCGGCUGCCUCGAAGCUCCCUUCUCAAGGGGUGGUGGGCUGAAUACUUUGAAGACGACUUAAAUAUACGACGGGACAUUGUAAGUGGCAGAGUGGCCUUGCUGCCAUGAUUCACUGAGAUCCAGCCCCAUGUCACACAGAUUC
rnacentral:ncRNA from 1 species